CAUAUUCUUUACAAUGUUUGAUAAGUUUUAUCAUCGAGAUAAUAGUUACUUAAAAAAACUAGUAGUCUAUGAAUUUUGUGAAGCAUAUGCUCAAUAUAAAUGACUUUUCUAUAUUUGUACAUACUAAACACAUAUAUCAUUAUAAUAAAGGAUUUCACGCGGAACCCUAUACCAUGGGAGUAUGUAUGCCCCCCCCCCCCCGAAAAAUAUCAUAUCUACAAAUUAAAGU
rnacentral:lncRNA from 1 species